rnacentral:lncRNA from 12 species
GCCUACUAAUUCAGGCUCCAGGCUCUUUCCAUUUGUAUGGCUCUGCUUUGAACUUUGAACACCCAAGGCACAAAAAUGGUGUGUAAUUGCUGGGCCACAGAGGAAGCCAGUGAUGUUGGAGGUGGAAGGAUGCCAAGACAACAAUAUUGGUCUUGGAGAACGGAGAUCUGUGGGAGUAUCCAUAAGAGCGAAAGCCAGUAACUACGAGAAGAAUCCAACAAACAUAGCCCAUGAUCAUUUCCCAGCAGAAUACACAAAAAGGCUUGGAAAGAAGUCUUCUCGUCCUUGUGCUAAGGUAACUGGAAUGCCUUUGACAUCAGUUUGGCACCCCUGGAAUGCUUGAGGAAUGGAUGAGCAAAUGAAUGAAUGGAGCAAUAAGCGAGAAGCCAUGGAAAGGCUCCAAUGGGUGAACCUAGAUGGAAGCAGCUGGCACAUUCUCACAAGUAAAUAAAGCGAGUGCAUUGGUGGGGAAGUGAAACA